GAUGAAGAACGUAGCGAAAUGCGAUAAGUAAUGUGAAUUGCAGAAUUCAGUGAAUCAUCGAAUCUUUGAACGCAUCUUGCGCUCCUUGGUAUUCUGAGGAGCAUGCCUGUUUGAGUGUCAUUAAAUUCUCAACUACACUGACUUUGAAUUGGUGUGGCUUGGAUUUGGGGGGAAAAUUGUUGUGGGCUUUUUGUAUAGUCUGCUCCCCUGAAAUUGAUUAGUGGUACCUUUGUGGAACUGUCUACAGGUGUGAUAAUUAUCUACAUCUUAGACAUCUGCUGGAAUGCUGCUUUCUAAACCUUACUUGUAUUGACAAUCUUGACCUCAAAUCAGGUAGGACUACCCGCUGAACUUAAGCAUAUCAAUAAGCGGAGGA
rnacentral:misc_RNA from 1 species